rnacentral:sRNA from 1 species
UGGGCAGAUGCUGCGGCUCGUCGCGCGGCUCCAGCUGGGGCGCGGUGGUCCCGACGGUCACCCGAAUCGCAGGGAGUCGCCGCUGGAGAGGGGCUCGGCGCCCGGCGGGGACUGCAGCUGGGCUGUGUCUGAACUGCUGGAGCCUGCAGGAGCUGGUCAGCAGGGACCCCGGCCACUUCCUUAUCCUCCUUGAGCAGAUCCUGCAGAAGACCCGAGAGGUCCAGGAGAAGGGCACCUACGACCUGCUCACCCCACUGGCCCUGCUCUUCUAUUCCACUGUUCUUUGUACACCACACUUCCCACCAGACUCGGAUCUCCUUCUGAAGGCAGCCAGCACCUACCACCGGUUCCUGACCUGGCCUGUUCCUUACUGCAGCAUCUGCCAGGAGCUGCUCACCUUCAUUGAUGCUGAACUCAAGGCCCCAGGGAUCUCCUACCAGAGACUGGUGAGGGCUGAGCAGGGCCUGCCCAUCAGGAGUCACCGCAGCUCCACCGUCACCGUGCUGCUGCUGAACCCAGUGGAAGUGCAGGCCGAGUUCCUUGCUGUAGCCAAUAAGCUGAGUACGCCCGGACACUCGCCUCACAGUGCC